AUUGAACGCUGGCGGCAGGCCUAACACAUGCAAGUCGAACGCGUGGCGGACGGGUGAGUAAUGUCUGGGAACCUGCCCGAUGGAGGGGGAUAACUACUGGAAACGGUAGCUAAUACCGCAUACCAUCGGAUGUGCCCAGAUGGGAUUAGCUUGUCGGUGAGGUAACGGCUCACCUAGGCGCCGAUCCCUAGCUGGUCUGAGAGGAUGACCAGACACACUGGAACAGAGACACGGUCAAGACUCCGACGGGAGGCAGCAGUGGGGAAUAUUGGACAAUGGGCGAAAGCCUGAACGAGCCAUGCCGCGUGUGGGAAGAAGGUCUUCGGAUUGUAAAGCACGUGAAGUUGGGAGGAGUUACCAACAGAAGAAGCACCGGCUAACUUCGUGCCAGCCGCCGCGGUAAUUC
rnacentral:rRNA from 1 species